AACGUAGGUGGCAAGCGUUAUCCGGAAUUACUGGGCGUAAAGGGUGUGCAGGCGGGGGUGCAAGGGGGGUAUGAAAUCUCCCAGCUUAACUGGGAUAGGUUAUGCCAGACUGCAGUUCUAGAGGACGAGAGAGGGGGGUGGAAUUCCGGGUGUAGUGGUGAAAUGCGUAGAGAUCCGGAGGAACCCCAGAGGCGAAGGCGGCCCCCUGGCUCGUACCUGACGCUCAGCCACGAAAGCAUGGGGAGCGAACGGG
rnacentral:rRNA from 1 species